UACAGAGGGUGCAAGCGUUAAUCGGAAUUACUGGGCGUAAAGCGUGCGUAGACGGUUGCGUAAGUCAGAUGUGAAAGCCCCGGGCUCAACCUGGGAAUUGCAUUUGAGACUGCGUAGCUAGGGUGCGGAAGAGGGAAGCGGAAUUUCCGGUGUAGCGGUGAAAUGCGUAGAUAUCGGAAGGAACACCAGUGGCGAAAGCGGCUUCCUGGUCCAGCACCGACGUUCAGGCACGAAGGCCAGGGGAGCAAACGGG
rnacentral:rRNA from 1 species